rnacentral:rRNA from 1 species
AGAGUUUGAUCCUGGCUCAGGACGAACGCUGGCGGCGUGCUUUACACAUGCAAGUCGAACGGAGAAGCACCUUCGGGUGUGGAUCAGUGGCGAACGGGUGAGUAACACGUGGGUAACCUGCCCCUCACUUCGGGAUAACUCCGGGAAACCGGGGCUAAUACUGGAUAUCACCAGACCGGGCAUCCGGACUGGUUGAAAGGGUUUACUGGUGAGGGAUGGACCCGCGGCCUAUCAGCUUGUUGGUGGGGUAAUGGCCUACCAAGGCGACGACGGGUAGCCGGCCUGAGAGGGCGACCGGCCACACUGGGACUGAGACACGGCCCAGACUCCUACGGAGGCAGCAGUGGGGAAUAUUGCGCAAUGGACGAAAGUCUGACGCAGCAACGCCGCGUGAGGGAACGAAGGCCUUUGGGUUGUAAACCUCUUUCAGCAGGGACGAAGCGAAAGUGACGGUACCUGCAGAAGAAGCACCGGCUAACUACGUGCCAGCAGCCGCGGUAAUACGUAGGGUGCAAGCGUUGUCCGGAUUUAUUGGGCGUAAAGGGCUCGUAGGCGGUCUGUCGCGUCGGAAGUGAAAACCUGGAGCUCAACUCCAGGCCUGCUUUCGAUACGGGCAGACUAGAGUUCGGUAGGGGAGACUGGAAUUCCUGGUGUAGCGGUGGAAUGCGCAGAUAUCAGGAGGAACACCAAUGGCGAAGGCAGGUCUCUGGGCCGACACUGACGCUGAGGAGCGAAAGCGUGGGUAGCAAACAGGAUUAGAUACCCUGGUAGUCCACGCCGUAAACGGUGGGCGCUAGGUGUGGGGAACAAUCUACGUUUUCCGCGCCGCAGCUAACGCAUUAAGCGCCCCGCCUGGGGAGUACGGCCGCAAGGCUAAAACUCAAAGGAAUUGACGGGGGCCCGCACAAGCGGCGGAGCAUGCGGCUUAAUUCGAUGCAACGCGAAGAACCUUACCUAGGCUUGACAUAUGACCAGAGCAUGCAGAGAUGUAUGUGCAUUUAGUUGGGGUCAUACAGGUGGUGCAUGGCUGUCGUCAGCUCGUGUCGUGAGAUGUUGGGUUAAGUCCCGCAACGAGCGCAACCCUCGUCCUAUGUUGCCAGCGGGUAAUGCCGGGGACUCAUAGGAGACCGCCGGGGUCAACUCGGAGGAAGGUGGGGACGACGUCAAGUCAUCAUGCCCCUUAUGUCUAGGGCUGCACGCAUGCUACAAUGGCCGGUACAAAGGGCUGCGAAAUCGUAAGAUUAAGCGAAUCCCAUAAAGCCGGUCUCAGUUCGGAUUGGGGUCUGCAACUCGACCCCAUGAAGUCGGAGUCGCUAGUAAUCGCAGAUCAGCAACGCUGCGGUGAGUACGUUCCCGGGCCUUGUACACACCGCCCGUCACGUCACGAAAGUCGGUAACACCCGAAGCCGGUGGCCUAACCCUUUACUGGGAGGGAGCUGUCGAAGGUGGGACUGGCGAUUGGGACGAAGUCGUAACAAGGUA